rnacentral:rRNA from 1 species
CAGUAGCCGCGGUAAUACGUAGGGUGCAAGCGUUAAUCGGAAUUACUGGGCGUAAAGCGUGCGCAGGCGGCGAUGCAAGACAGAUGUGAAAUCCCCGGGCUCAACCUGGGAACUGCAUUUGUGACUGCAUUGCUGGAGUACGGCAGAGGGGGAUGGAAUUCCGCGUGUAGCAGUGAAAUGCGUAGAUAUGCGGAGGAACACCGAUGGCGAAGGCAAUCCCCUGGGCCUGUACUGACGCUCAUGCACGAAAGCGUGGGGAGCAAACAGGAUUAGAUACCCCCGUAGUCCCUGUCUCUUAUAC